GACAGAAGGUGCAAGCGUUACUCGGAAUUACUGGGCGUAAAGCGUCCGCAGGUGACUGGGGCAGUCCGGCGUAAAAGCACGAAGCUCAACUUCGUGUACGUGCUGGAAACUCCCCGGAUAGAGUCAUACAGAGGCAUCUGGAAUGUCGUGUGUAGGGGUAAAAUCCGUUGAUCCACGAUAGAACGCCAAAAGCGAAGGCAGGAUGCUGGGUAUGCACUGACACUCAGGGACGAAAGCGUGGUGAGCAAACCGG
rnacentral:rRNA from 1 species